AUCAACAACAUCGUCAACAUCAUCAUCAUCAUCAUCAUCAUCAUCAUCAUGUGGUUUGAGUUUGACGAGUAAUCUAACGCGUCAUAAAUUACCAAAUCCAAAUACUGAAAAGGAAGAUAUUUAGAAUGGAUUCGGCAAGUACAGCGCACUCGUAAGGACUUUCAAGGUCCACCAUUGCCGUACAGAUCGUCAGAUGCUUUCUUCACUUGUGGCUUCUUCAACAUCAUCAGAUUCGGUUAAUGAGCCUGUGGAGCCCAUGAUGAGGGAUUGGAAUAUUUAAGUAAUAUGGGCGGCAAAGAGAAAAUGUUUUCAGAAAAAUAUGUGCAAGUUAAAAUGAAGGGUCGGGGGGAAAAAUUGUUUGCUGCUAGCAAGGAGAGAUCACUUGAGCUAUUUAAAGAGUGGAAGCCUUCUAUAUGUAAACAUUUGUACUGGUGUGCUAACAAUGGAGAAGAGAAGCCUGUCUGAAAAGCCCUAUCUAACCACGUGAUCCACACAUUCCAGCCUGCAAACAUGGUUAACUAGCGGAACGGAAAUAUUUAAGCAGCUAUUAUAAAGCAUAUGCUCGACUAUCUGAAGUUGCAUUCAAGACGACUGUGAUGAAGGAUGUUAUGCAGUUGUCUACAAACCGUAUCACAUCAGGAGUUGAAUCAUUCCAUUCCCUGCCAAAUCACAUAGCUCCAAAGAGGCUACAUUAUAGUUAUCAUGGAAUGAAAGCAAUGUAAUUGUGUAAAA